GAUGAACGCUGGCGGCGUGCCUAAUACAUGCAAGUCGAGCGAACAGACGAGGAGCUUGCUCCUCUGACGUUAGCGGCGGACGGGUGAGUAACACGUGGAUAACCUACCUAUAAGACUGGGAUAACUUCGGGAAACCGGAGCUAAUACCGGAUAAUAUAUUGAACCGCAUGGUUCAAUAGUGAAAGACGGUUUUGCUGUCACUUAUAGAUGGAUCCGCGCCGCAUUAGCUAGUUGGUAAGGUAACGGCUUACCAAGGCGACGAUGCGUAGCCGACCCGAGAGGGUGAUCGGCCACACUGGAACUGAGACACGGUCCAGACUCCUACGGGAGGCAGCAGUAGGGAAUCUUCCGCAAUGGGCGAAAGCCUGACGGAGCAACGCCGCGUGAGUGAUGAAGGUCUUCGGAUCGUAAAACUCUGUUAUUAGGGAAGAGCAAAUGUGUAAGUAACUAUGCACGUCUUGACGGUACCUAAUCAGAAAGCCACGGCUAACUACGUG
rnacentral:rRNA from 1 species